GAUGAACGCUGGCGGCGUGCCUAAUACAUGCAAGUCGAGCGAACGGACGAGAAGCUUGCUUCUCUGAUGUUAGCGGCGGACGGGUGAGUAACACGUGGAUAACCUACCUAUAAGACUGGGAUAACUUCGGGAAACCGGAGCUAAUACCGGAUAAUAUUUUGAACCGCAUGGUUCAAAAGUGAAAGACGGUCUUGCUGUCACUUAUAGAUGGAUCCGCGCUGCAUUAGCUAGUUGGUAAGGUAACGGCUUACCAAGGCAACGAUGCAUAGCCGACCUGAGAGGGGUAUCGGCCACAAUGAAACCGAGACAGGGUCCAAACCCCUAAGGGGGGCAACGGAAGGGAAUUUUCCGAAAUGGGCGAAAGCGUGAAGGAGCAACGCCGCGUGAGUGAUGAAGUUCUGCGGAUCGUAAAACUCUGUUUUUAGGGAAAAAAAUUUUUGUAAGUAACUGUGCCAACUUUGGCGGGACCAAAUCAAAAACCCGCGGCAAACUACUU
rnacentral:rRNA from 1 species